AUCGCUUCUCAGCCUUUUGGCUAAGAUCAAGUGUAGUAUCUGUUCUUAUAUAUAUAUAUAUAUUUUUUGUCUUUUUGCUUUUAUCUAGAGCCGCACCCGUG
rnacentral:snRNA from 1 species